UGAGGAAUAUUGGUCAAUGGGCGAGAGCCUGAACCAGCCAAGUAGCGUGCAGGAUGACGGCCCUAUGGGUUGUAAACUGCUUUUAUAUGGGAAUAAAGUGAGGGACGUGUCCCUUAUUGCAUGUACCAUACGAAUAAGGACCGGCUAAUUCCGUGCCAGCAGCCGCGGUAAUACGGAAGGUCCAGGCGUUAUCCGGAUUUAUUGGGUUUAAAGGGAGCGUAGGCUGUUUGUUAAGCGUGUUGUGAAAUGUAAGAGCUCAACUUUUAGAUUGCAAAGCGAACUGGCAGACUUGAGUGCGCACAACGUAGGCGGAAUUCAUGGUGUAGCGGUGAAAUGCUUAGAUAUCAUGACGAACACCGAUUGCGAAGGCAGCUUACGGGGGCGCAACUGACGCUAAAGCUCGAAGGUGCGGGUAUCGAACGGG
rnacentral:rRNA from 1 species